rnacentral:tRNA from 1 species
CCGUGUCCGGCGUGCAGGACGACCGCGACGCGGCCGAGGUCCUCGUCGACCGCGCCGCCGAGGUCGGUGCGCGGAUCGUGUUCGAGGGCAACGAC